AUAUUUUGCUUUUAAUGAAUUUGUUAACCUACCCGCCGGGCUGUUCGACGCUACAACCAGAUUAGUGACAUUGGAUUUGUGGUAUAAUGAACUUGUUCACCUACCUGCCGGGCUGUUUGACGCGACAACCGAAUUGAAAUACCUAGAUUUGGACGCUAAUCAUCUUGUUCACCUACCUGC